rnacentral:tRNA from 1 species
GGAGGCUUAGCUCAGUUGGGAGAGCAUCUGCCUUACAAGCAGAGGGUCAGCGGUUCGAGACCGUUAGCCUCCACCA